CUUCGCAGGAGCAGGAGCGUCCAUCGCCGCGCUUCUGCAAGUGCGGCUGGAAGAACAGGCUUAAAGCGCUCCCCAGAGACCUGGGAUCUCUCUGGAAAAUCAAAGCGAGGAGCAAACCUGAAUUCUAUCUCUUCCCACCCUCUGGUCUACUGGAAGCCAGAGAGCGAAGGAGUCCAGGAGACACUGUCCACAGAGGUCGUCCCCGCUGGACACAUGGUGCAGACGGGAUCUGUGUGAGAUGCAAGCGUAGAGUAACUGACCCCACAUCUCAAACUGGAGGUGGCAAAACAGCUCUCUCCGCUUUCUCAAGCCACCGCUAACCCCUGUCCCCACCAUCACCUCCUGCCUGGUGGAGGGCAGUAGCCGUCUAACUGGACACCCUGCCUCCCUUUUCUCCCCACGCCAUUAUCUGUAACCAACUAGAGUGACCUCUAUAUAUGAAUCGAGUCAAGUCCCUCCUGCAGUGGCUCUCAUUGCUCUUCCAAUAAAGCCCCAUCUCCUUGGCCUGGUUUCUGAGGCUCUGAAUCAAACGGCCACCACCCAGGCUGGUACAUGAGACAAAUUCAUCGUUGGUCCGUGCACAACCUACUUUGAUG
rnacentral:lncRNA from 1 species